rnacentral:rRNA from 1 species
GACGAACGCUGGCGGCGCGCCUAAUACAUGCAAGUCGAGCGAGAAGACGUAGCAAUACGUUUGUAAAGCGGCGAACGGGUGAGGAAUACAUGGGUAACCUACCCUCGAGUGGGGAAUAACUAGCCGAAAGGUUAGCUAAUACCGCGUACGCUCCUUGGACUUCGGUUCAGGGAGGAAAGCGAUGCCGAGGGUAUCGCGCUCUUGGAUGGGCUCAUGUCCUAUCAGCUUGUUGGUGAGGUAACGGCUCACCAAGGCUUCGACGGGUAGCUGGUCUGAGAGGACGAUCAGCCACACUGGCACUGCGACACGGGCCAGACUCCUACGGGAGGCAGCAGUAAGGAAUAUUGCGCAAUGGGCGAAAGCCUGACGCAGCGACGCCGCGUGGGGGAGUGAAGGUCUUCGGAUUGUAAACCCC